GAUAAACGCUGGCGGCGUGCCUAACACAUGCAAGUCGAACGUCCUCUCUCGCAAGAGAGAGGGAGUGGCGGACGGGUGAGUAACACAUGGGUCACCUACCCUUAAGUGAGGAAUACCGGCGAGAAAUCGCCGACAAGACCGCAUAGGCUCUCUCUCUUGCAAGAGAGAGCAAAGCUUCGCAAGAGGCGCUUGAGGAUGGGCCUGUGGCCGAUUAGCUGGNGGUAGGGUAAUGGCUUACCAAGGCGACGAUCGGUAGCUGGUCUGAGAGGACGAUCAG
rnacentral:rRNA from 1 species